rnacentral:rRNA from 1 species
UACGGGGGGAGCAAGCGUUGUUCGGAUUUACUGGGCGUAAAGGGCGCGUAGGCGGCGCAACAAGUCACUUGUGAAAUCUCCGGGCUUAACCCGGAGCGGCCAAGUGAUACUGUGCGACUAGAGUGCAGAAGGGGCAACUGGAAUUCUCGGUGUAGCGGUGAAAUGCGUAGAUAUCGAGAGGAACACCUGCGGCGAAGGCGGGUUGCUGGGCUGACACUGACGCUGAUGCGCGAAAGCCAGGGGAGCGAACGGG